ensembl:snoRNA LOC120095754 small nucleolar RNA SNORA17
AAUGUCCCUAUAGGUGUUGUGGGUGUGCAAGCUCUGUCCCAUACGCAUCCAUAGGUGGCAGAAGGAGAGAAGCUAUGUUCAUGCUUAGAGUUCUGACCUAUGAACAUUUGAAUAAUUAGUAGCUUAGAAGA